UGGCGCUGGCCGCGAGCUCGUGUCGGCCCGUAUGCCUACCGCUCCCACACACCCACGCCCGGGCUCCUCCUUAUCCUCUCCUCUCUUCCUCCUCUCUCUCCUACCUGUCCAUCUACAAUUCCUCUCCAUCGGGGUUCGGAUUCGCCCAUUGCCACUCCGCCGCGCAGCCUUCAUCAAGAUCUUCGUGGGAGAAUGCAACCAUUUCUGUUGCGGAUUUGUCCUUUUCUUGAAUGAUUGGAGUAAAAGGCUGCACAUGUAUUAAAAAGAAUUGUUGCACAAGCCAAAAGAAGAAUUGCAACAUAAAUUUGGAUUGUAAAUUAUCUGCUUUUCUCGAGGAAGUAUGAGUCCUCUUUGUGAUUUUUGUGGGGAGCAAAGAUCUAUGGUCUACUGCAGGUCCGAUGCAGCAUCCUUAUGCUUAUCAUGUGAUCGCAAUGUCCAUUCUGCAAACGCACUUUCUCGGCGGCACUCGCGUACUCUUUUGUGUGACAGAUGCACCAUGCAACCUGCCACAGUCCGGUGCAACGAACAAAAUGUUUCUCUUUGCCCAAACUGUGAUUGGAAUGGUUAUGGUGGUUCAUGCUCCACCUCAAAACAUAAAAGACAGACAAUAAAUUGCUACUUGGGUUGCCCAUCAGGUGCUGAUUUUUCUAGAAUUUGGUCCUUUAUUCAUGAGUUACCUCCUGUGGCAGAGUCCGAUUUUAAUCAGGGAUUUGGUUUGAUGACAAUAAAUGAGAACAGUGUCAGUAAUUGUUUGGGACCUUCAGAAGACAGCUGUAAGAUUGAUGAUGAGAGCUUAGGCAAGAUAAAAGAUCUGGAAGCAGUCAAUAAGUAUAAUUCCUGAAUCGGAUCAUCUUCAACUUCUGCAGCUAAUGCUAUGCCUUGUACUACAGAUCAGCCAGCUGGUUCUUUUGAUCCAACUACACCUAAGCGACUUUAUCCUGGGAGUAAAGAUGUUGAAUUCUGCAAUGAUGAUUUCUAUUAUGAUCGUAACAUGGAUGAUGUUGACUUGACAUUUGAGAAUUACAAAGAUCGAUCAGGUUGUCUUUUUGAUGCUGAAAUUGAUAGUUUUAUCAAUACGACGGAAAAUUGUGCUACUAAUUCAAAAUGCCAGGAAGCAUUUGUUACUGAGACUACAUGUAGCAAUGCAGUUUCUGCUGAUUCUGCCAAGUCAAACCUUGGGAAAACUGAAGAUUCUAGCAUGUAUUUCCCAUGACGCCAAACUCGAUCCAGUCUAUCCCUUUCCUUUUCUGGUUUGACCGGUGAAAGCAGUGCUGGAGACUAUCAAGAUUGUGGAAUGUCAACAAUGUUACUUACGGGUGAGCCUGCAUGGUACCCUGUGGGUCCUGAAAGCUCUUCGUUGCCUACAGCUAGACGGGAUUAUGCAGUAAUGCGUUACAAAGAAAAGAAGAAAAAGCACAGUUAAGUUCAUACCUUCACACUGUCACUCUAGACAUGUAUAUGGUCACUUCUCUUAUUUUUGGGGCCUUAGCACUAUAGCGUAUAUUUUUGCUCGUUUUCUAAUACAUGAAAAUAUCUCAAAGGCCAAGCACUUGUUUCUGUA